UACGCAAUGGACCAUCACGGUAACCUAGAAUUCAACAUGGCGGAAAAGUCGGCGGACAACGUUCAUGACGUGGGUUCAAAAGACGGUGAUGAAACUGAAAGAGACGGCAAGAUGGGAGUGGACUUGGAUUCAAUGUUUGACCGGUACUUGGACGAAGCUGCGUCACACCCCAAGUAUGCUAACAAGAAAAAGGAUGGCUGUUUACAAAAGGAAAACGAAGAAUUCUUGAAAAACUGGGAAAAGGAGAUUGACAAGAUUCCUGCAUUCAUGAACGAGAUACCAGACGAUGCAGAGGAUAACAGUCUAGUAGCAGCUCUGCAGGCUAUCAAGUAUGACCAAGAUGAUCCUCCUGAAGAGCAGGCAAGAGUUCACAAAGAAGACGGCAACCAGUGGUUCAAGAAGAAAAAGUACAAAGUUGCAAUUACGGCAUAUACUGAAGGCCUGAAGCAGAACUUUGAGGACAGCGAGCUGCGAGCUGUGCUGUAUGCCAACAGAGCAGCAGCCAACUUCCACCUGGGUAAUUACCGUUCUUCCGCCAACGAUGCCACCGAGGCAGUCAAACACAAUCCUGCUCACAUGAAGGCGUUGAUUCGAGCAGCCGAAUGCUGUAUUAAACUGGAAGACUACGAUGAAGCCAUAACGUGGUGUGAUAAGGCACUGAAAAUUACUCCAGACGAUAAAAAGGUCCUGGAACUGAGACUAGCAGCCAUUAAACAACAGAAACUUUGGGAGAGGAACAAGAGGAAACGAAAAGCUGAAGAAAAGGCGGCACAUGCGAGAAGAUUGAAGAUUGUAGAAGCUAUCAAAAGUCGGAACAUACAAUAUGGUCAGUUCAGCAAUGACGACCCAAAGGCCAAGUCCCAAGACCAGCUGAUCCUGGAAGCGGUCAGCAGCCAGCACCCAGCAGGUGCUGCCGUCACUCUAGACGAGUCCGGAAAUCUGACCUGGCCGGUGACCUUUCUCUACCCGGAGUUUGGCCAGAGUGACUUUGUCCAAGCAUUUCACGAAGACUCCAUUUUCUCAGACCACUUACAAAUCCUAUUCGAAGAGUCUGCUCCUUGGGAUAAGGGUGGCAUGUACAAGCCCCACACUGUGCAGAUCUACUUCCAUCCUUCAGAAGGCACUCAACUUGUUGAGGUCACCCCAGACUCCACGCUCAGAGCUACUCUGCAAGAUCCAAGAAUCCAUCAGGUGUUGGAUCUGUAGACUAGUCUGAGAAGACGUCACUGCAGUGGCUCUGACACUGUUACGUGAGAUUCCCAAAUGGGACUCCUUUACGGGAUGAAGAAACAUUAUUGAUUCGUGCAUACAACCUGUAUUUGGUGGCCAAGGAUCCACUUUUUGUCAUCUUACCGAAAAACAGCCUCUUUGCAGAGAGCUACCUAAAGCAAUACACAAGUCUUCACU
rnacentral:misc_RNA from 1 species